UGACUUUUUCUUUUUAACCUUACUUUGAAUAUUCAAAUAUCCUCCUAAUCAGAGAGAAAGGAGAAAGGCAACUGGUUUUCUGCACUCCACCCCAGAAGACGGGCAUCCGCAAUAGUGUAACAGCUUUGCUGGGCCAGAAAAGGCUCAGAGGAUGUAUAACCUGCCCAAUGGAAUCUGGCAAGAAAGUGGUGGAAUCAAGAUUUGAUAUGAUUUCUGUCUAACUCCCAAACCAUAUUCCUGCCUGCAUAAAAUGCUGCCAUCCCAAGUUCCUGAUACUGAGCGGAAUCCUGCUUCCCCAGGUCAGUCGGAUUCUCACGUGACUUCCUGGCAGUAACUGGAUUCCAAUUAAAAUCUACUCUUCUCAAAUCCUGCACCCACAGCCUUGACACGGACUGGUUUUCUCAAGUGAAGGGAUCACUGCUUGGAGA